CUGCUGCCUCCCGUAGGAGUCUGGUCCGUGUCUCAGUACCAGUGUGGGGGACCUUCCUCUCAGAACCCCUACGCAUCGUCGCCUCGGUGGGCCGUUACCCCGCCGACUAGCUAAUGCGCCGCAUGGCCAUCCGCAGCCGAUGAAUCUUUAACCGCCGAGGGAUGCCCCUCCGCGGUGUUACGCGGUAUUAGACGGAAUUUCUUCCGCUUAUCCCCCUGCUGCGGGCAGGUUCCAUACGUGUUACUCACCCGUGCGCCGGUCGCCGG
rnacentral:rRNA from 1 species